rnacentral:misc_RNA from 1 species
UCCUGGUUAACCCAGGCAGUCUAAUUAGAGUGCCCAACUUAAUGCUGGCAACUAAUUAUAGGGGUUGCGCUCGUUGCGAGACUUAACCCAACAUUUCACAACACGAGCUGACGACAGCCAUGCAGCACCUCUCACUACAUUUCCUUGCGGACACCAUGACGUUUCUGCCACGUUCGUAGGAGUUCAAGCCCAGGUAAGGUUCUGCGCGUUGCUUCGAAUUAAACCACAUAAUCCACCGCUUGUGCGGGCCCCCGUCAAUUUGUUUGAGUUUUAGUCUUGCGACCGUACUCCCCAGGCGGAGAACUUAAUGCGUUAGCUGCGUUUCCGAAGGAGUCAAUACCUCCAAAAACUAGUUCUCAUCGUUUACGGCGUGGACUAC